UGCACGUUUUUUUUUACUAGAAUACAGUAGACGUUUACACCAGAGACAAAUAUUGCAGUUACUGAAACAUAUUUAUUACAGUAUUAAUAAUUGCUUUUGAAAGUACUCAGAGUGUGGAAAGCAAUAUCAAUUGGAGCUAUUUCAUUACUAUGAAACCAGUUUUUUGGUACAUCUAUCAUUUGUCUGUUGUUUAAAACCAAUUGGUAUAAAGAAGUUGAAGGGUUUAAUGUGUCAAUCUGCUUAAACAAUAAAGUUCUGGCGGAAUCAAUGCAUUACUAGGUAUAAAUGGUUCAAUAAAUGUCUGUUCACAGUUAGAGACGUUACCAAAGUCAAUUUGUUUAUUAAUAUUUAAACCGUG